rnacentral:rRNA from 1 species
GACGAACGCUGGCGGCGUGCUUAACACAUGCAAGUCGAACGGUGAAGCUCCAGCUUGCUGGAGUGGAUCAGUGGCGAACGGGUGAGUAACACGUGAGCAACCUGCCCCAGACUCUGGAAUAAGCGCUGGAAACGGCGUCUAAUACUGGAUACGAGAUCAAGCCGCAUGGUUAUGGUCUGGAAAGUUGUUCGGUUUGGGAUGGGCUCGCGGCCUAUCAGCUUGUUGGUGAGGUAAUGGCUCACCAAGGCGACGACGGGUAGCCGGCCUGAGAGGGCGACCGGCCACACUGGGACUGAGACGCGGCCCAGACUCCUACGGGAGGCAGCAGUGGGGAAUAUUGCACAAUGGGCGAAAGCCUGAUGCAGCGACGCCGCGUGAGGGAUGACGGCCUUCGGGUUGUAAACCUCUUUCAGCAGGGAAGAAGCGAAAGUGACGGUACCUGCAGAAGAAGCACCGGCUAACUACGUG